AUGUCGCUCAAACUCCAUUGCCACUAUCUAGCUCCCCCACCACGUCCAAAUCCACCAUUCUUUCUCUUUCUCACUCUCUCUCAUUCACUAAGCCAACUGCCCAAAUCCUCCCUCUCGCGACACUGCCGAACUCCUCCACCAUGCCCAGAUCUGUUAUGGCCAUUACCCAAAUCCACCAUUCUGUCUUACACUGAGUUUGAAGCGGCUUUGGAAACAGAUCGGGAGGGCUAG
rnacentral:lncRNA from 1 species